CGAAUGGGUCUGAAGACUCUUAAAACCUACCGUGCUCCCCUACGUGGAAAACAGGAAAGCCCUCCGGGGCAUAGGAAAUCUGAGAAGUUGAGAACUGCGCCCCGGCGCAUGACUAAAACAAAAAUUA
rnacentral:misc_RNA from 1 species